rnacentral:rRNA from 1 species
AUUGAACGCUGGCGGAAUGCUUUACACAUGCAAGUCGAACGGCAGCACGGGGGCAACCCUGGUGGCGAGUGGCGAACGGGUGAGUAAUACAUCGGAACGUGCCCGGUCGUGGGGGAUAACGUAGCGAAAGUUACGCUAAUACCGCAUACGAUCUGAGGAUGAAAGCGGGGGACCUUCGGGCCUCGCGCGAUCGGAGCGGCCGAUGUCAGAUUAGGUAGUUGGUGGGGUAAAGGCCUACCAAGCCGACGAUCUGUAGCUGGUCUGAGAGGACGACCAGCCACACUGGGACUGAGACACGGCCCAGACUCCUACGGGAGGCAGCAGUGGGGAAUUUUGGACAAUGGGUGCAAGCCUGAUCCAGCCAUUCCGCGUGCAGGACGAAGGCCUUCGGGUUGUAAACUGCUUUUGUAUGGAACGAAAAGGCUCUGGCUAAUACCUGGGGCUCAUGACGGUACCGUAAGAAUAAGCACCGGCUAACUACGUG